rnacentral:lncRNA from 1 species
GUCGGCUAAACCCUAAAAUUUUUCUAUUACAUACUAUAGCCCUAUCUUCGGUGGUUAUUUUGUGUAAAAUUUUUAAACGACUUGUUGCGUCUCAUUGAUUUAAAACUAUUUUCAGUUCAAGGUCCGGCCAAAAUACGAAAUUUAGACGGUCCAACGACUUUUUCCGUGCAUUUAAGGGUUUGACUUACGGGAUUGACCGUCCGGAUCGAGCACUUAACUUUGUCGGAUCAAGUUGAAUUUUUGUCCAUACAUGUAUUUUGUCAUGAUGGUCAGAUCUGACGGUCGGAUUUCCGUUUCUCAAGUUUGAUCAUCACAAUCACAACAUGCCUACUAAUGUUGUAUAACUU